GACGGGAGCGGGACCGGGACCGGGAGAGGGACCGGGACGGGACCGGGACGGGGACAGGG
rnacentral:miRNA from 12 species